AUUGAACGCUGGCGGCGUGCUUAACACAUGCAAGUCGAUCGGUAACAGGUGUAGCAAUACAUGCUGACGAGAGGCGGACGGGUGAGGAACGCUUGGGAAUCUGCCUAUCAGCGGGGGACAACCCGGGGAAACUCGGGCUAAUACCGCAUACGCUCUACGGAGGAAAGCCGGGGACCGCAAGGCCUGGCACUGAUAGAUGAGCCCAAGUCGGAUUAGCUAGUUGGCGGGGUAACGGCCCACCAAGGCGACGAUCCGUAGCUGGUCUGAGAGGACGAUCAGCCACACCGGAACUGAGACACGGGCCGGACUCCUACGGGAGGCAGCAGUGGGGAAUAUUGGACAAUGGGGGAAACCCUGAUCCAGCGACGCCGCGUGGGUGAAGAAGGCCUGCGGGUUGUAAAGCCCUUUCGGUAGGGAAGAAAUCUCUUGCUCUAACAAAGCAGGAGUUUGACUUAACCUACAUAAGAAGCACCGGCUAACUCUGUGCCAGCAGCCGCCGUAACAC
rnacentral:rRNA from 1 species